GCAGUCAAAGGCAUCCUCAGAAGUGAGAACUGGCUGGAGGCAUCUUAUGCUUUGACUUCAAACAAUGUCAUGAAGCUGUAAUCACCAAAACAGUGCAGGACUCACCAAUGCACAGACCAGAAGAGCAGGACCUGUUACAGAGCCCAAGCUCAUUCUGCUCACUGCACAACAGGCCAGAGCCAGGCUUUGCCAAAUAACAGUCCAGAGACCAGCCUGUCAUGAUUUCCAUCUGUACUGGUAGUGCCUCACCUGCAUCCGUUCCUGCUUUGAGCCACAACUGCCCCUGUAAGCUACAGACCCCGCCCUCCAUGCUGCAGCAGGGUGGGCUGGGCCACCUGGAACACGGGUCCUGCCACUGCAGUGAGUGAUGCUGCAGGAUGCUCGUCAUCCUUUAGGUUUGCCCUGCUCAGCCCCUCACCACCUCCUGUCACCCGUGGGGCCAGUUCUUCCAGGGGGGGCGGGAGGCUCUUUGGCUGCUGGUUGCCAUGCUCUUUCUGCAGCUUGUUACCCUCCUCAGAAAUGUUUCAUCAUUUCCACCAAAUACCCAUUUGGAACUUUUAAGAUGGGACUUGAAACAGGCUCUUGUAUCAUGUCAGUGCCCCUGCCCCCUCCCCCCUUGCCCCCACGUGACCUCUGGGCACUCCCCACCCCAAACCAUAACAAACUUACCUUAGUUCCUGCCACAAAGUCCUGCAUCUCUGGCGACAUCUCUCGUCAUCCUUUCCCCUCUGCACCGUCUUCCCUCCAUCAGGCUCACCUGGUUGCAGGUACUCAGAAAAGUGAAGCCCUGUGCCCCCAGAGACCCCUCUUCUCCCCAGCCCUCACCUCGUCCUCAUCCCUCUGAAUUUAUCAUUUUGUACUCUUUGAACUGGGCAUUACAAUGAAUUUAAUCGCUGCUGUACACUCC